CCUCCUAUUCAAAUUAUAUAAUAUUCAUGUGAAUACAACAAUUGACUAACAUACUUUGAAAACAAUGAACUCGUACAUUUGUUUGAACAAUAUAAGUAUUAAUGUAUCAUGUACAACCCAACAAUAUGACAAAAUGAAACUAAAACAAUACAAUUAUACAGGUGUAUAACCCAUCAAUAUGUUAUUACGAAUCUUUGUUCCCUUCUUGAUCUCCAUUGCAAC
rnacentral:lncRNA from 1 species